AUACACCGGGCCAGCUUCUCCUCCUCCCAGAGCGGCCCGUCGGAAUGACGGAACUCCUCCUCCCAGCCGUCGUUCGGUUCUUUUCGAAAAGCCUGCCGCACCUCCUCCCGCGGCAGGCUUUUCGU
rnacentral:sRNA from 17 species